GGGAAUAGAGUUAAAGAAUUAGUUUAUUGAUUUUAUUGUUGUAUUUUUUUGUAGCUUGUUGUGAACUAUUGGCUUCGAGGGACUCAUAAUCCCUUGGUCGCAGGUUCGAGUCCUGCUGGGCCCA
rnacentral:tRNA from 1 species